UGGUUGAUCCUGCCAGUAGUGUAUGCUUCUCCUAAAGACUAAGCCAUGCAUGCUCUGAAUAUGAGGAAGCAAUUCUCUCUGAAUCUGCGAACGGCUCCGCAAACCAGUUGUAAACCACAGCAAGCUUGUCCGGGUUGGGCUUCGGCUCGGCCUGGGCGAUACGGAUAACCCUGGUAAUUCUGAGGCUAAUACGUGUAUGGAACACCCGGUGGACCAGUCUAGGCUGGGAAACUGGGAGACGAGUGAUUGAAUGCUUGGGUUAACCGGGAAUGGGCGCUCGCCUUGACCGCGCUACAAAGGAUGACCUCUAGGGGGAUUCCCAGCGGCUCUUGCGCGGUGCUUCUGACCUAUCAACUAGAUGGCAGCGUAAGGGACAUGCUAUGGUAACAACGGGUACAGAGGAUUAGGGUUCGAUCCUGGAGAGUGGGCCUGAGAGAUUGCUCAUACUUCUAAGGAAGGCAGCAGGCGCGCAACGUUCCCCUUGGGCAAUGCUCGAGGGCGUUAGGGGACAUAUGAAUGCCUGCCCAAUGGGUGGGCAAUUCAAAUGGGUCUGUUGUAAACAGGCUCUCGAGUAACAAUUAGAGGACAAGUC
rnacentral:rRNA from 1 species